rnacentral:rRNA from 1 species
GACGAACGCUGGCGGCGUGCUUAACACAUGCAAGUCGAACGGAAAGGCCUGCUUUCCCUUGUGGAUUGCGGGUACUCGAGUGGCGAACGGGUGAGUAACACGUGAGUGAUCUGCCCCCAACUUGGGUAUAAGCCUGGGAAACUGGGUCUAAUUCCCGAUAGGACUGCAGGGUGGUGCCUGUGGUGGAAAACGAUUUUCUAGUGGUUGGGGAUGAGCUCGCGGCCUAUCAGCUUGUUGGUGGGGUAAUGGCCUACCAAGGCGGCGACGGGUAGCCGGCCUGGGAGGGUGGACGGCCACAUUGGGACUGGGAUACGGGCCCGAACCCUACGGGAGGCAGCAGGGGGGAAUAUUGCACCAAGGGGGGAAGCCUGAUGCAGCGACGCCGCGGGGGGGAUGACGGCCUUCGGGUUGUAAACUCCUUUCGACCGCGAGGAAGCCACCUGGUUGGAAGGGUGGUGACGGUAGUGGUAGAAGAAGCACCGGCUAACUACGUG